rnacentral:rRNA from 1 species
CCUACGGGAGGCAGCAGUGGGGAAUAUUGCGCAAUGGGCGAAAGCCUGACGCAGCGACGUCGCGUGAGGGAUGAAGGUCUUCGGAUUGUUAACCUCUGUCAGCAGGGAAGAACGGUCACUGUGCUAUUCAGCAGCUAAUUGACGGUACCUGCAAAGGAAGCACCGGCUAACUCCGUGCCAGCAGCCGCGGUAAUACGGAGGGUGCGUGCGCUAAUUGGAAUUACUGGGCGUAAAGCGCUCGUAGGCGGUCUGUCAAGUCAAGGGUAAAAUCCCCGCGCUCAACGUGGGAACUGCCUUUGAAACUGGCAAACUGUAGUGUGUGAGAGGAUAGUGGAAUUUCUAGUGUAGGAGUGAAAUCCGUAGAUAUUAGAAGGAACACCAAUAGCGUAGGCAGGAUGCUGGGACGGUUCUGACACUAAGGCACGAAGGCGUAGGGAGCAAACGGGAUUAGAUACCCGUUAGUC